UUCAGCCCCAAACACUGGUGUGUUACUGAGAGUCACCAUUUCUCUCAACCGUCCUGCAAAGACAACACCAAGUGCUGGCUCCUCUCCCAAGCCAGGGACUGUGUGCUGAGCCUGAGCUAAGGAUGUCAUGAAAAUGUUGCAGAUCAAACUCAGGACUUGGUGCAUGGCAGAUGGCAUUCUGCCAAGUGACCCCCACCAUCACAGCCUGCGGUGAGCGAAUGUGUGUUCAUGCCGUGAGCGUAUCCACGUAAAGCACCCCAGUGCCUCAGACCCACGGGAAUGGCAGUCUUCCCCUGGUGGAAGUCCAGAUGUUGACAGUUGUGCGGAAAGUGUCAAGCGUAGCCUUCUCUUCCCACUGACUGCUCCUCUGCAGAGAGCCCUUCUGACAUCAGCUGGCGCACAUCCUGUUCAGAUGUAUGUAGUAAACCAGCCCCCUCCUCAAGAGCCGCGUAUAAUAAACAAGAGUUUCUAGGCGUGUCGCAGCUCCAUCCCAGCACGUGGCCCACCCAAUCCCAGCUUUUCUGCUUGUGUGUCCUUGGUUUUCACCUCCUUCACUCCAGCCAGGCAGUACCAAACCUGGCAGGUCCUGACACCAGCCUAGGUUUUUUUUUUUUUUUUUUUGGAUUUGUUUCAUUUGUUGAGACAGGGAUUCUCUCUGUAACAGCUCUGGCUGUCCUGGAACUCGCUCUGUAGACCAGGCUAGCCUCAAACUCACAGAGAUUCACCUGCCUCUGCCUCCUGAGUGCUGGGAUUAAAGGUGUGCACCACCACUGCCCAGACUCUUUUACUUUUUAAAUCCAUAUCCUUCUUUAUGUAUGUCUUGUUUAACUGUCCUGACUAGUACACUUAGUACAACAUUAAACACACACACACAUGGCCAGCCAGGCAUGAGGACGUGCCCCUGGGAGACAGAGGCAAGAGGAUCAGGAAUUUAAGUUCAUCUUCAGCAACACAGCAAGUUUGGGGCCAGCCUGGCUUUCAUGAAUACUUGUCUCAAAAAACAAACACAAAAUAAAAGUUAAAAGUGACCAGAGUGGA